CCUACGGGUGGCAGCAGUGGGGAAUAUUGCACAAUGGGCGCAAGCCUGAUGCAGCCAUGCCGCGUGUGUGAAGAAGGCCUUCGGGUUGUAAAGCACUCUCAGCGGGGAGGAAGGCGGUGAGGUUAAUAACCUCAUCGAUUGACGUUACCCGCAGAAGAAGCACCGGCUAACUCCGUGCCAGCAGCCGCGGUAAUACGGAGGGUGCAAGCGUUAAUCGGAAUUACUGGGCGUAAAGCGCACGCAGGCGGUCUGUCAAGUCGGAUGUGAAAUCCCCGGGCUCAACCUGGGAACUGCAUUCGAAACUGGCAGGCUAGAGUCUUGUAGAGGGGGGUAGAAUUCCAGGUGUAGCGGUGAAAUGCGUAGAGAUCUGGAGGAAUACCGGUGGCGAAGGCGGCCCCCUGGACAAAGACUGACGCUCAGGUGCGAAAGCGUGGGGAGCAAACAGGAUUAGAUACCCCUGUAGUC
rnacentral:rRNA from 1 species